rnacentral:rRNA from 1 species
UACGGAGGUUGCAAGCGUUGUUCGGAAUUACUGGGCGUAAAGGGAGUGCAGGCGGCUUGAUCAGUCUGAUAGUGAAAGUCCGGGGCUCAACCCCGGAAUUGCUUUGGAUACUGUCAAGCUUGAGUAUGUGAGAGGUGAGCGGAAUUCCAGGUGUAGCGGUGAAAUGCGUAGAUAUCUGGAGGAACAUCGGUGGCGAAAGCGGCUCACUGGCACAUUACUGACGCUGAGACUCGAAAGCGUGGGGAGCGAACGGG